AGAAGCCCCUUACUUGGGCAACUGGCCUUCUGAAGCAAUUCCCAGUCUUUCCCAGGAAUUAAAUGGGUCCUUCUUAAGCUCCUACACAGACAACCAGCUGGCAGAAGCCUGGUGUACAGGAGAUUGGAGAGCACCUCUGCACACCAGCAUCCUUGUGGCUCUGGAGAACAGCCUGUGGAGUGAGUCACUUGGACUUUACAAGGUCAGUGUGAUCUCCCAAAAGUUCUCCAGUUCCAUUGCAGCAAUCAGCUCUCCUGCCUGCUCAGAACAUGAUGCCUCCAUCAGCCCAAUUUGUUGUCCUCCUCAAGGGCUGACCCUGACCCUGCAAAAAAUAAAUAGAAUGGACAAAGUCCCAGCUUCACAACUGAAUGAAGUCAUCUGGUUUGAAGUUCCCGAUUCGGUCUUUUUAGCAGAAUCUGUCAUUAUUUCGAGUUCUAUCCGAUCUUCCAGCAGUUUCAGAAAGUGUCACAUACAUGCAGUGCAAAGCUACUGCUAUGGAACUCCAUGUACAACAUCACAUGCCUGAGAGAAAUAUUGAUUUUUCACAGAACAUGAAGAACAGAAAAAUAAAGAAACAUUUUCACAUGACCUUGGCCUUCUGCAAAAAUAGCCUUGUGUUCAUAUCUUGUCUUAUACUUGUCUGGAGGCCUUUGUGGAGCUUUCCUGAAGACCAUAACAUCAGCUGCAAUAUGGAAGUAUUUAGCAGCUCUCUGUAGAUUUAGAUUGUUAUUUCAUUUUUAUGUAAGUUUUUUUCCCUGUGUGAAUCGAGACACAUUCUGGGGCAUUGUGGGAUAGUUUAGUCAGCUAAAACUAACUUUAACAUCACAAGAUCAAAUGUUUAUCCCCCACUUGGGUACUGUUUGUUUUGACAUCGUACUUAAGGACUUCUGUGCAAAGGGCAAGAAGAGAGAAGAGACUAAAUAAAAUAAAUCUAAUGAGACUGAAUACACAGUAAAGUACUUGAGCCUUCACUAGGUUCCUCAGACUGCAUGUUUCUGAUGGAUUUAAGAUCAUCUAAGUGGGCAGCAGUAGUCCCACUGUGUUCUCAGCUCUAAACCUCCUGGAAGUCGUGGCAACAAAAUCUGGGUUUGGACUGCAGGGAAGCUUUCCAUACCACUUCAUGGAGCUGACAUGAGAAACAGGUCUCUUGUCAGUUCAGAGAUCUGAACUAUGACUGCUGAGAACUGGCUGCUUAAUUUAAUUUAAUUU